rnacentral:rRNA from 1 species
UACGAAGGGGGCUAGCGUUGUUCGGAAUUACUGGGCGUAAAGGGCGCGUAGGCGGUGUGUCAAGUCAGGCGUGAAAGCCCCGGGCUCAACCUGGGAACCGCGCUUGAGACUGGCACGCUCGAGUCCGGGAGAGGAUGGUGGAAUUCCCAGUGUAGAGGUGAAAUUCGUAGAUAUUGGGAAGAACACCGAUGGCGAAGGCAGCCAUCUGGACCGGCACUGACGCUGAGGCGCGGAAAGCGUGGGGAGCAAACAGGAUUGAGAA